rnacentral:lncRNA from 1 species
AAACUCCCUCUCUCUCCCUCUCACUCAUCAAAUUCUCUCUUUCUCUCUCUAAAAAUGAAGAUGGGUUUUGCAGGGUUCCAAGUUUUGAUGGUUUUGAGUCUUUUGGCCACAUCAUGCAUAGCCCAGGCCCCAGGAGCUGCACCCACAGCCUCACCCCCAACCGCCACGCCGCCAACCGCCACCCCGCCAACCGCCACGCCGCCAACCGCCACCCCACCAACCGCUACACCGCCAUCAGCCGUACCAGUUCCAUCACCCAGCAAAACACCAACCGUGUCACCAACUCCAUCACCAGUGACAGCACCAACCCCAAGUGCCUCCCCACCGGCUUCCACACCAUCUGCUGAGUCUCCGUCGUCCCCACCUGCUCCCUCUGGCCCAAGCCCGAACUCCCCACCGGCUGAGGCUCUUCCUCCAAGUGGCACCUCCACCAUCAGCCGCGCUGUUAUUGCUGGAACUGCUCUUGCUGGAGUCUUCUUCGCCGUUGUGUUGGCUUAGAUUCAUGGGGUUUACCCUUUCGGGUUUCGCUAUUCGUCCACAUGGAGACUCCUCAUCGGCUCUCAGAU